GACGAACGCUGGCGGCGUGCUUAACACAUGCAAGUCGAACGGGUCUGCCCUGUUUUUUGCGGGGUGGGUCAGUGGCGAACGGGUGAGUAACACGUGAGUAACCUGCCCCUCACUUCUGGAUAACCGCUUGAAAGGGUGGCUAAUACGGGGUGUUCUGGCUGUGCCGCAUGGUGUGGCUGGGAAAGAUUCACUUUUGUGGUGUUUUGGUGGGGGAUGGGCUCGCGGCCUAUCAGCUUGUUGGUGGGGUGAUGGCCUGCCAAGGCUUUGACGGGUAGCCGGCCUGGGAGGGUGGGCGGUCACACUGGGACUGAGAUACGGCCCAGACUCCGGCGGGAGGCAGCAGUGGGGGGUAGUGCACAAUGGGCGGAAGCCUGAUGCAGCGACGUCGCGUGAGGGAUGGAGGCCUUCGGGUUGUGAACCUCUUUCGCCGGUGAAGAAGGUCCUGCUCUGUGGGGUGGGGUUGACGGUAGCCGGGUUAUGAAGCGCCGGCUAACUACGUG
rnacentral:rRNA from 1 species